GGUGGGGACUGUCUCCCUGUACAGGUGAACAUGGUCCUAGAGACAGUCCAGAUCGAGGGUGGGAUAGUGGGGACUGUCUCCCUGUACAGGUGAACAUGGUCCUAGAGACAGUCCAGAUCGAGGGUGGGAUAGUGGGGACUGUCUCCCUGUACAGGUGAACAUGGUCCUAGAGACAGUCCAGAUCGAGGGUGGGAUGGUGGGGACUGUCUCCCUGUACAGGUGAACAUGGUCCUAGAGACAGUCCAGAUCGAGGGUGGGAUAGUGGGGACUGUCUCCCUGUACAGGUGAACAUGGUCCUAGAGACAGUCCAGAUCGAGGGUGGGAUAGUGGGGACUGUCUCCCUGUACAGGUGAACAUGGUCCUAGAGACAGUCCAGAUCGAGGGUGGGAUGGUGGUGACUGUCUCCCUGUACAGGUGAACAUGGUCCUAGAGACAGUCCAGAUCGAGGGUGGGGUGGGGGGACUGUCUCCCUGUACAGGUGAACAUGGUCCUAGAGACAGUCCAGAUCGAGGGUGGGAUAGUGGGGACUGUCUCCCUGUACAGGUGAACAUGGUCCUAGAGACAGUCCAGAUCGAGGGUGGGAUGGUGGGGACUGUCUCCCUGUACAGGUGAACAUGGUCCUAGAGACAGUCCA